AUGGCCAUACCAUGCUGAAUAUACCGGUUCUCGUUAGAUCACCGAAGUCAAGCAUCAUUGGGCGUGGUCAGUACUUGGGUGGGUGACCACCUGGGAACACCGC